rnacentral:rRNA from 1 species
CGCUCAGAUUGAACGCUGGCGGCAUGCCUUACACAUGCAAGUCGAACGGCAGCACGGGAGCAAUCCUGGUGGCGAGUGGCGAACGGGUGAGUAAUACAUCGGAACGUGUCCUGGAGUGGGGGAUAGCCCGGCGAAAGCCGGAUUAAUACCGCAUACGCUCUGAGGAGGAAAGGGGGGGCUCGCAAGACCUCCCGCUCAAGGGGCGGCCGAUGGCAGAUUAGCUAGUUGGUGGGGUAAAGGCCUACCAAGGCGACGAUCUGUAGCUGGUCUGAGAGGACGACCAGCCACACUGGGACUGAGACACGGCCCAGACUCCUACGGGAGGCAGCAGUGGGGAAUUUUGGACAAUGGGCGCAAGCCUGAUCCAGCAAUGCCGCGUGUGUGAAGAAGGCCUUCGGGUUGUAAAGCACUUUUGUCCGGAAAGAAAACUUCCUGGUUAAUACCCGGGGAGGAUGACGGUACCGGAAGAAUAAGCACCGGCUAACUACGUGCCAGCAGCCGCGGUAAUACGUAGGGUGCAAGCGUUAAUCGGAAUUACUGGGCGUAAAGCGUGCGCAGGCGGUUCGUUAAGACAGAUGUGAAAUCCCCGGGCUUAACCUGGGAACUGCAUUUGUGACUGGCGGACUGGAGUAUGGCAGAGGGGGGUAGAAUUCCACGUGUAGCAGUGAAAUGCGUAGAGAUGUGGAGGAAUACCGAUGGCGAAGGCAGCCCCCUGGGCCAAUACUGACGCUCAUGCACGAAAGCGUGGGGAGCAAACAGGAUUAGAUACCCUGGUAGUCCACGCCCUAAACGAUGUCAACUGGUUGUCGGGUCUUCAUUGACUUGGUAACCGUAGCUAACGCGUGAAGUGAC